UCUUUGGUCACAAUCAGUAUCACGGAGUGGACUUCAUUUUACGGUUGAUGAACUACACUUCCCAUAAUUCCACUCGCGCUCUGAACCUGUUCCGGUUUGCUGUCGUUGCUGUGCACUGCCCUGGUGUCGUAAACAUUUCUAUCUAUACAGCGUUUACUAUUGCAAGUAGCCUUUAGCAUUUUGUUCUAAGGCGUACUUAUGUAGUUUAGUCUUAGUUCUCAAUAAGUGAAGCUUUAGUCAUGUUUACUUGUGCAGUUACACAGUGGUUAUGUCACGGUGUGUGUGUGGGUUCAGUGCAGAGAUGUUCAAGACUCUUCAGCAGGGCUUUGAGCUCUCAGGCUCUCCGAGCUUUUCAGAUGCUCCUGCAACUCCUAAAGACUUGAAAAAAACUGUAAAGCAAUGGGAAUUAUUAGUUAAUCCUUUCACAAAUGUCAAAUGUCAUUUAGGCUGUAAUAUAUAUCCAGAAAAUCACUGGAUCCACAUGCUUUUCCUGAGGCUGAUCGGGCGUUUAUUAGUGUGCACGUGACAGAUGCGAAUCAAACUGCUAAUGUGGACGGGUUUCAUGUUCAUUAUGAUGAUCAAAGCAAUGCACUUAAGAUUUUGGGCGAUGAGGUGGAUAGCAAUGUCACUGUUGAACUGACAGCACCUAUCAAAUGUGAUCUCCACAUCAAGACUAAAGACAAAGGCAAUGUGAAGAUCCAGAAAAUGGAGAGUGAUCUCUGCCAUGUUCACACAGAGGGAGGGCACUGUGUCCUAAAGUCUGUCAAGGGUCAUGAGGUUCAAGUUCAGUCCACAGGAGGAAAUGUCACUGGACUUCAGACCGUUCAUGGGAAUGUUAAUAUCAGCACAUCUUUGGACAGUGUGUCUGGCAGCCUUCAGUUUCUUCUUUGAAAUAUAACUCUUCCAACCACUUAACAUAAAACAUCAGUCAUAAAGCUAGUUGACAUACAGGCCCAAUGUUUUUGUAGCUAAAGCAGGUUUUGUUUGCUGUUGUGUGACUCUUUGAUACUACACUAGUUUUGACACUCACGUGAAACACAUUUUGGUUUGGCUGGUGCGAUAACAGAAGUACGCUUUCUCCAUCAAAUGUGACAGACACUGUGAGAGGGGAAAUUAAUAAAUGAGUUUAAGCAGAUGGAGGUUUGACGACACAACCCUCAUUCACUCUGAAUGAAGAAAAUACUUAAGAGAGUUUACCAGGAUGUCUUCUGGGUUUCCAAAUAUAUCAUACACAAUGCCUCCUGCCAAUGAGGAGAUUUGUUUGUCUUUGUCAAUAAAUGUGUGCCUGAAUUCAGAAACGGUUUACAUCUUAGAGAUGUUAUGUAUUAAAACCAUUUUACUGCUUGAUUUUACAUUAGAGAGCCGUACAUGUCAAGCAUUAAACAGAAGCACACAUACCAGCAGAUCUCAAAAUCAUGAUCCUCAAGGAUAGAUAGGAUCUUCUCCUCUAUAAAGUGCAAAGGAUCU